rnacentral:pre_miRNA from 1 species
UCUUAAGUAUGUGCAAAGAAAGUGGUUUCUUGAGACGGAAACUACUCUUGGCGAUAAUUCUGUGAA